UACAGAGGGGGCAAGCGUUAUUCGGAAUUAUUGGGCGUAAAGGGCGCGUAGGCGGCUUGGCAAGUGGAAGGUGAAAUCCCUCGGCUUAACCGAGGAACUGCCCUCCAAACUGCUUCGCUUGAGACCGGGAGAGGUGAGUGGAAUUCCCAGUGUAGCGGUGAAAUGCGUAGAUAUUGGGAGGAACACCAGUGGCGAAGGCGGCUCACUGGACCGGUACUGACGCUGAUGCGCGAAAGCGUGGGAGCAAACGGG
rnacentral:rRNA from 1 species